CAAGCGGUUGUUCGGAAUUACUGGCGUAAAGGGCUCGUAGGCGGCCAACUAAGUCGGAUGUGAAAUCCCCAGGACUCAACCUGGGAACUGCAUCCGAUACUGGAUGGCUUGAAUCGGGAGAGGGAUGCAGAAUUCCAGGUGUAGCGGUGAAUGCGUAGAUAUCUGGAGGAAUACCGGUGGCGAAGGCGGCAUCCUGGACCGACAUUGACGCUGAGGAGCGAAAGCCAGGGGAGCAAAGCGGGA
rnacentral:rRNA from 1 species